rnacentral:rRNA from 1 species
GAUGAACGCUGGCGGCGUGCCUAAUACAUGCAAGUCGAGCGAACAGACGAGGAGCUUGCUCCUCUGACGUUAGCGGCGGACGGGUGAGUAACACGUGGAUAACCUACCUAUAAGACUGGGAUAACUUCGGGAAACCGGAGCUAAUACCGGAUAACAUGUUGAACCGCAUGGUUCAACAGUGAAAGACGGUCUUGCUGUCACUUAUAGAUGGAUCCGCGCCGCAUUAGCUAGUCGGUAAGGUAACGGCUUACCAAGGCAACGAUGCGCAGCCGACCUGAGAGGGUGAUCGGCCACACUGGAACUGAGACACGGUCCAGACUCCUACGGGAGGCAGCAGUAGGGAAUCUUCCGCAAUGGGCGAAAGCCUGACGGAGCAACGCCGCGUGAGUGAAGAAGGUCUUCGGAUCGUAAAACUCUGUUAUUAGGGAAGAACAAAUGUGUAAGUAACUAUGCACGUCUUGACGGUACCUAAUCAGAAAGCCACGGCUAACUACGUG